GUUGGGUAGGGGAGCGUUCUGUAAGCCUGCGAAGGUGUACUGUGAGGUAUGCUGGAGGUAUCAGAAGUGCGAAUGCUGACAUAAGUAACGAUAAUGCGGGUGAAAAACCCGCACGCCGGAAGACCAAGGGUUCCUGUCCAACGUUAAUCGGGGCAGGGUGAGUCGACCCCUAAGGCGAGGCUGAAAAGCGUAGUCGAUGGGAAACGGGUUAAUAUUCCCGUACUGGUGGUAACUGCGAUGGGGGAACGGAGAAGGCUAGGUUGUCCGGGCGACGGUCGUCCCGGUUCAAGCAUGUAGGCAGAGUGAUUAGGCAAAUCCGGUCACUUAAUGCUGAGGUGUGAUGACGAACCACUAAGGUGGUGAAGCAAUUGAUGCCCUGCUUCCAGGAAAAGCCUCUAAGCUUCAGGUUACCAACAAUCGUACCCCAAACCGACACAGGUGGUCAGGUAGAGAAUACUCAGGCGCUUGAGAGAACUCGGGUGAAGGAACUAGGCAAAAUGGUGCCGUAACUUCGGGAGAAGGCACGCUGGCGGUAAGUGAAGUCCCUCGCGGACGGAGCCGAAGCCAGUCGAAGAUACCAGCUGGCUGCAACUGUUUAUUAAAAACACAGCACUGUGCAAACACGAAAGUGGACGUAUACGGUGUGACGCCUGCCCGGUGCUGGAAGGUUAAUUGAUGGGGUUAUCCGUAAGGAGAAGCUCUUGAUCGAAGCCCCAGUAAACGGCGGCCGUAACUAUAACGGUCCUAAGGUAGCGAAAUUCCUUGUCGGGUAAGUUCCGACCUGCACGAAUGGCGUAAUGAUGGCCAGGCUGUCUCCACCCGAGACUCAGUGAAAUUGAACUCGCUGUGAAGAUGCAGUGUACCCGCGGCAAGACGGAAAGACCCCGUGAACCUUUACUAUAGCUUGACACUGAACAUUGAGCCUUGAUGUGUAGGAUAGGUGGGAGACUAUGAAGUGUGGACGCCAGUCUGCAUGGAGUCAACCUUGAAAUACCACCCUUUAACGUUUGAUGUUCUAACCUAGGCCCGUAAUCCGGGUCGGGGACCGUGUCUGGUGGGUAGUUUGACUGGGGCGGUCUCCUCCUAAAGAGUAACGGAGGAGCACGAAGGUUGGCUAAGCAUGGUCGGACAUCAUGCGGUUAGUGCAAAGGCAUAAGCCAGCUUGACUGUGAGAGUGACGGCUCGAGCAGGUACGAAAGUAGGUCUUAGUGAUCCGGUGGUUCUGAAUGGAAGGGCCAUCGCUCAACGGAUAAAAGGUACUCCGGGGAUAACAGGCUGAUACCGCCCAAGAGUUCAUAUCGACGGCGGUGUUUGGCACCUCGAUGUCGGCUCAUCACAUCCUGGGGCUGAAGUAGGUCCCAAGGGUAUGGCUGUUCGCCAUUUAAAGUGGUACGCGAGCUGGGUUUAGAACGUCGUGAGACAGUUCGGUCCCUAUCUGCCGUGGGCGUUGGAAGAUUGAGAGGGGUUGCUCCUAGUACGAGAGGACCGGAGUGAACGCACCACUGGUGUUCGGGUUGUCAUGCCAAUGGCAUUGCCCGGUAGCUAAGUGCGGAAGAGAUAACCGCUGAAAGCAUCUAAGCGGGAAACUUGCCUCGAGAUGAGUCUUCCCUGUCACCUUGAGUGACCUAAAGGAACGUUUAAGACUAAGACGUUGAUAGGCUGGGUGUGUAAGCGUAGCGAUACGUUGAGCUAACCAGUACUAAUGAACCGUGAGGCUUAACCUG
rnacentral:rRNA from 1 species